UACAGAGGUCUCAAGCGUUGUUCGGAUUCAUUGGGCGUAAAGGGUGCGUAGGCGGCGCGGUAAGUCGGGUGUGAAAUCUCGGGGCUUAACUCCGAAACUGCAUUCGAUACUGCCGUGCUUUGAGGACUGGAGAGGAGACUGGAAUUUACGGUGUAGCGGUGAAAUGCGUAGAUAUCGUAAGGAAGACCAGUGGCGAAGGCGGGUCUCUGGACAGUUCCUGACGCUGAGGCACGAAGGCCAGGGGGAGCAAAACGGGG
rnacentral:rRNA from 1 species